rnacentral:rRNA from 1 species
GACAGAGGAUGCAAGCGUUAUCCGGAAUGAUUGGGCGUAAAGCGUCUGUAGGUGGCUUUUUAAGUCUGCCGUCAAAUCCCAGGGCUUAACCCUGGACAGGCGGUGGAAACUACCAAGCUAGAGUACGGUAGGGGCAGAGGGAAUUCCCGGUGUAGCGGUGAAAUGCGUAGAGAUCGGGAAGAACACCAACGGCGAAAGCACUCUGCUGGGCCGAAACUGACACUGAGAGACGAAAGCUAGGGGAGCAAAUGGG